UACAGAGGGUGCGAGCGUUAAUCGGAUUUACUGGGCGUAAAGCGUGCGUAGGUGGCCAAUUAAGUCAAAUGUGAAAUCCCCGAGCUUAACUUGGGAAUUGCAUUCGAUACUGGUUGGCUAGAGUAUGGGAGAGGAUGGUAGAAUUCCAGGUGUAGCGGUGAAAUGCGUAGAGAUCUGGAGGAAUACCGAUGGCGAAGGCAGCCAUCUGGCCUAAUACUGACACUGAGGUACGAAAGCAUGGGGAGCAAACAGGAUUAGAAACCCGAUAGUCC
rnacentral:rRNA from 1 species